rnacentral:rRNA from 1 species
ACAGGCUUAACACAUGCAAGUCGAGGGGCAGCAUUUUAGUUUGCUUGCAAACUGAAGAUGGCGACCGGCGCACGGGUGAGUAACACGUAUCCAACCUGCCGAUAACUCCGGAAUAGCCUUUCGAAAGAAAGAUUAAUACCGGAUAGCAUACGAAUAUCGCAUGAUAUUUUUAUUAAAGAAUUUCGGUUAUCGAUGGGGAUGCGUUCCAUUAGUUUGUUGGCGGGGUAACGGCCCACCAAGACUACGAUGGAUAGGGGUUCUGAGAGGAAGGUCCCCCACAUUGGAACUGAGACGCGGUCCAAACUCCUACGGGAGGCAGCAGUGAGGAAUAUUGGUCAAUGGGCGAGAGCCUGAACCAGCCAAGUAGCGUGAAGGAUGAAGGCUCUAUGGGUCGUAAACUUCUUUUAUAUGGGAAUAAAGUUUUCCACGUGUGGAAUUUUGUAUGUACCAUAUGAAUAAGGAUCGGCUAACUCCGUGCCAGCAGCCGCGGUAAUACGGAGGAUCCGAGCGUUAUCCGGAUUUAUUGGGUUUAAAGGGAGCGUAGGUGGAUUGUUAAGUCAGUUGUGAAAGUUUGCGGCUCAACCGUAAAAUUGCAGUUGAAACUGGCAGUCUUGAGUACAGUAGAGGUGGGCGGAAUUCGUGGUGUAGCGGUGAAAUGCUUAGAUAUCACGAAGAACUCCGAUUGCGAAGGCAGCUCACUAGACUGUCACUGACACUGAUGCUCGAAAGUGUGGGUAUCAAACAGGAUUAGAUACCCUGGUAGUCCACACAGUAAACGAUGAAUACUCGCUGUUUGCGAUAUACAGUAAGCGGCCAAGCGAAAGCAUUAAGUAUUCCACCUGGGGAGUACGCCGGCAACGGUGAAACUCAAAGGAAUUGACGGGGGCCCGCACAAGCGGAGGAACAUGUGGUUUAAUUCGAUGAUACGCGAGGAACCUUACCCGGGCUUAAAUUGCAACAGAAUAUAUUGGAAACAGUAUAGCCGUAAGGCUGUUGUGAAGGUGCUGCAUGGUUGUCGUCAGCUCGUGCCGUGAGGUGUCGGCUUAAGUGCCAUAACGAGCGCAACCCUUAUCUUUAGUUACUAACAGGUUAUGCUGAGGACUCUAGAGAGACUGCCGUCGUAAGAUGUGAGGAAGGUGGGGAUGACGUCAAAUCAGCACGGCCCUUACGUCCGGGGCUACACACGUGUUACAAUGGGGGGUACAGAAGGCGGCUACCUGGUGACAGGAUGCUAAUCCCAAAAACCUCUCUCAGUUCGGAUCGAAGUCUGCAACCCGACUUCGUGAAGCUGGAUUCGCUAGUAAUCGCGCAUCAGCCAUGGCGCGGUGAAUACGUUCCCGGGCCUUGUACACACCGCCCGUCAAGCCAUGAAAGCCGGGGGUACCUGAAGUACGUAACCGCAAGGAGCGUCCUAGGGUAAAACUGGUAAUUGGGGCUAAGUAGUA